AGCAGCCGCGGUAAUUCCAGCUCCAAUAGCGUAUAUUAAAGUUGUUGCAGUUAAAAAGCUCGUAGUUGAAUUUCGAGAUCAAAUUGUUGGUCGUGCCUCGGUACGUACUGGCAUUAUUGAUUUCUCCCUUCUGACGAUCCGCGAUGUCAUUAAUUUGGUGUCGCGGGGAAUCAGGACUGUUACUUUGAAAAAAUUAGAGUGUUUAAAGCAGGCUCACGCUUGAAUACAUUAGCAUGGAAUAAUGAAAUAGGACGUUUGAUUCUAUUUUGUUGGUUUCU
rnacentral:rRNA from 1 species